rnacentral:rRNA from 1 species
GAUGAACGCUGACAGAAUGCUUAACACAUCAGCAAUGGCUUGGUGGCGGACGGGUGAGUAACGCGUAAAGAACUUGCCUCCCUGGUAGGGACAACAUUCGGAAACGAAUGCUAAUACCUAAUACUGUGAGCGAGCUUUGCGUCCCAUUAGCUCGUUGGAGAGGUAACGGCUCACCAAGGCGAGGAUGGGUAGCCGGACUGGGAGGGUGAUCGGCCCCAAGGGGCCUGGGACACGGCCAUUAGUGAUACUGGAGUAAGGGGUGGAGGCUAGUGGAAGAAGGACCAAAGUGUGAUGCAGCUCUUCGGUUUGUAAGAUGAAGUUUUCGGAAAGUAAAGUGCUUUCAGUAGGGAAGCGGUACCAAAAGAAGAAGUCACGGCUAACUACGUGCCAGCAGCCGCGGUAAUAC